AUUGAACGCUGGCGGCAGGCCUAACACAUGCAAGUCGAGCGGUUGAGGUAGCUUGCUACCGAUGCAGCGGCGGACGGGUGAGUAAUACAUGGGGAUCUGCCUGGUAGUGGGGGACAACGUUUCGAAAGGAACGCUAAUACCGCAUACGCCCUACGGGGGAAAGGGGGGAUCGUUCGGACCUCUCGCUAUCAGAUGAGCCC
rnacentral:rRNA from 1 species